ensembl:lncRNA
GAUUCUUGGUAUGGGGAGGGGGGGACUACAAGGUCGUUGUUAUGGUUUGUCUCUAAUGUUCCCCCAAUGCCUCAUGCUGUCAUAGGUGCGGCUAUUUCAGAGGUGGCUGGAUCUAGAGUGUGUGAUGCUAGAAUUAAGGGUGUGUGAUUACUAAAUUAGUCCACUGUUGGUUUGGCAUAGUUCUGGGUAGGAUUAAGGGUACCCCACCCUGGGCGUGACUGCUACCUGCCCUUAGGUUAAAAAUACAAGGGACUGAAAGAGGGCUGGUGUAUGGUGGCUUGUCACUUGUUGCUUGCUGCCUUCUGCCUGCCCUGCUUCACCAAAGAACUGUUUCUCCUCUCCAGUGCCCCUCUGCCAUGCCACCCUGCCUUGGAGCCAGCCAACUAUGAACUGAAACUUCUAUGAACUGGUUCAAAGAUAGCAGCAGACACACUGGAACUGAACUCUGGCUCAGCUGUGGUUCUUCCUGAGUCCCUCUCAGCCUCUCCUGGCACCAAACAAAGGCAUGAGCUCCAGGACUGCCAGGACAACACUAUCACCAAGAGAGAAUCCAGGAUGACCUAAGCCUCCGGGAGACAGAGCUGAGAUGCAAGGAGAAUCUGGAGUUGUGAAGACACCACGAAGCAGUUAACCAGCCAUCUCUGAGGCUGCCCCCUGCAGCCUCAUUAGGAAGGUGCACCAUGAAGCAGACGCC